UACGAAGGGGGCUAGCGUUGCUCGGAAUCACUGGGCGUAAAGCGCACGUAGGCGGGUUCUUAAGUCAGGGGUGAAAGCCCGGGGCUCAACUCCGGAACUGCCUUUAAGACUGCAUCGCUUGAACAUCGGAGAGGUAAGUGGAAUUCCGAGUGUAGAGGUGAAAUUCGUAGAUAUUCGGAAGAACACCAGUGGCGAAGGCGACUCACUGGACAUGUAUUGACGCUGAGGUGCGAAAGCGUGGGGAGCAAACAGG
rnacentral:rRNA from 1 species